rnacentral:misc_RNA from 1 species
CAAAAAAAAUAAACAAAAAAAAAAAUAGAAAAAAGAGAAAAAAAAAGUGAUAAUGUUAGAUACUUAGGUAUGAAUAACAAACUACAUUGCCUUUUAAGGUGUUGCUUCUUGUGAUAGGGGGAAUUUAUUCAUAUUGAGAGGUUUUAUAUUUGAAUUUUGCUACUAGCCCCUUAGUGUGAUGAAAUAUCUGCGUUUUAUUAAUUCUAUUAACGAAAGUAUUGUAAACUUUGACUCCGAAUUAAGUUUAGUAAGGAGCUUCUAUAUGUGUAUGAGUGUGAAAGGCACGAUAUUCUCUAUUAGAUAUGUGGUUAGCUUACCUAUACAUCCUUUUUUUUAUUUAUAAAAAAAAAA